rnacentral:rRNA from 1 species
GAUGAACGCUGGCGGCGUGCUUAACACAUGCAAGUCGAACGAUGAAGCCCAGCUUGCUGGGUGGAUUAGUGGCGAACGGGUGAGUAACACGUGAGUAACCUGCCCUUAACUCUGGGAUAAGCCUGGGAAACUGGGUCUAAUACCGGAUAGGAGCGUCCACCGCAUGGUGGGUGUUGGAAAGAUUUAUCGGUUUUGGAUGGACUCGCGGCCUAUCAGCUUGUUGGUGAGGUAACGGCUCACCAAGGCGACGACGGGUAGCCGGCCUGAGAGGGUGACCGGCCACACUGGGACUGAGACACGGCCCAGACUCCUACGGGAGGCAGCAGUGGGGAAUAUUGCACAAUGGGCGCAAGCCUGAUGCAGCGACGCCGCGUGAGGGAUGACGGCCUUCGGGUUGUAAACCUCUUUCAGUAGGGAAGAAGCGAAAGUGACGGUACCUGCAGAAGAAGCACCGGCUAACUACGUG